AGGACGAACGCUGGCGGCGUGCUUAACACAUGCAAGUCGAACGGUAAGGCCCUUCGGGGUACACGAGUGGCGAACGGGUGAGUAACACGUGAGCAACCUGCCCUUGACUUCGGAAUAACAGUUGGAAACAGCUGCUAAUACCGAAUACGACCACAUGCGUCAUCGCGUGCGGUGGAAAGCUCCGGCGGUCAAGGAUGGGCUCGCGGCCUAUCAGCUUGUUGGUGAGGUAACGGCUCACCAAGGCUUCGACGGGUA
rnacentral:rRNA from 1 species